AGUUCUUCAGGAAGGACCAGGGUGACUACUUCAUUGGCUGCCUCUUCCUUACAGAGCUCAAUCCUUUGUCUCCUUAGGGAAGAUGCUCAUCCAGUGGAACUUCCAUUCAGCAAACCAGAGAAGUUGUCAUCCAAUGUCUCAUUGAUCACCUGGGUGAAGAUGCGAGUGCCUUGAUCAAGGACUUUGAGGAUGCCGGUGAUUCAGCUGUCAACAUGGAAGAGCUGGUGCCAGAGGUGAUGGCUAUGUACCUGGUGAAGAAGGAAGGUGGACUAGUCAACGAUGUAGGGGUCGUUAUUGAAGGUUCUACUGUACUCGGCCAUCUUGGGGAUCUCAGCAGAGCCUGCUGCUACCUGGUUUCACUGACCUGGUAUGCCUUCAACCUGAAAUACACCAAAACCCAAAUACAUUUUCGAGGUAUUUCAGAAGAUCCUGCUGGAAGUGGAUCCUGUAAACCUUUCUAUAAAGGUGCAAAGACUGAAGAACAAUGUGGU